rnacentral:rRNA from 1 species
AGCAGCCGCGGUAAUUCCAGCUCCAAUAGCGUAUAUUAAAGUUGUUGCAGUUAAAAAGCUCGUAGUUGAAUUUCGGGAUCAGUAGGUUGGUCAUGCCUUUGGUAUGUACUGGCCUCACUGAUUCCUCCCUCUUGAAGAACUGUAAUGUUAUUAAUUUGGUGUUGCGGGGAAUCAGGACUGUUACUUUGAAAAAAUUAGAGUGUUUAAAGCAGGCUCACGCUUGAAUACAUUAGCAUGGAAUAAUGAAAUAGGACGUAUGAUCCUAUUUUGUUGGUUUCUAGGAUUGACGUAAUGAUUAAUAGGGAUAGUUGGGGGCAUUAGUAUUCAAUUGUCAGAGGUGAAAUUCUUGGAUUUAUUGAAGACUAACUACUGCGAAAGCAUUUGCCAAGGAUGUUUUCAUUAAUCAAGAACGAAAGUUAGGGGAUCGAAGACGAUCAGAUACCGUCGUAGUCUUAACCAUAAACUAUGCCGACUAGGGAUCGGAUGAUGUUAAUUUUUUAAUGACUCAUUCGGCGCCUUA